AACGAACGCUGGCGGCAGGCUUAACACAUGCAAGUCGAACGCAUCCUUCGGGGUGAGUGGCAGACGGGUGAGUAACGCGUGGGAACGUGCCCUUCAGUUCGGGAUAACCCAGGGAAACUUGGGCUAAUACCGGAUACGUGCGAGAGCAGAAAGAUUUAUCGCUGAAGGAUCGGCCCGCGUCUGAUUAGCUAGUUGGUAGGGUAAUGGCCUACCAAGGCGACGAUCAGUAGCNGGUCUGAGAGGAUGAUCAGCCACAUUGGGACUGAGACACGGCCCAAAACUCCUACGGGAGGCAGCAGUGGGGAAUAUUGGACAAUGGGCGCAAGCCUGAUCCAGCCAUGCCGCGUGAGUGAUGAAGGCC
rnacentral:rRNA from 1 species